CUUUUGUACUAUCCCAUGGAAAUGCUGCCUGUCUGGAACGUGACAUUCAACAGUAUGGCUCUAUUAAAGAGAACCUUUCAGGAGUACUUCCCACUUCCACCACUCGGGUGGCAGAACAAUCUCCAGGUAGAGGCUGUUCUGUCAUCGUGCCCUGAAAUGACCCAGAUGUGCAAACCAGGUUACCUCUGAACAUGAAACUAGAGAGCUCCAAAAAUAUGUCCAUCAGAAGAUGCAGGAAUACAUGGCGAGACAUCUGUGAAGUUGGUAUUUUUUUCUUGAGCUUAUAUUAAUGGGUCCCCUAUUGAUUUUUAUUACACCGGAUAGCAUCAACAUUAUGUGGUAUGGAGAUGGAAGAACCGCUGGAAGAAAUUGGAGGCACCCUGACAAAUUUCUUUUUCCUGUCAUAACUUUGAGGUUUUGCCUCUGUUCUAGCUAUAGCCUGGGACUAGUGAGGUAGGUUGAUGAUGACAGCUGAAGAAGACUGUAUUUGUCGAAAAGCUGCAUGAUGGUCGAGGGGAGCGGGGUUCCUGAGGGAGAUCUAAUGGUGCCUCUUUUUCCUGCACAGAGAUAAAGACUUAUAAUAAGCGUGUAUGUUCACCAUCUGGCUCUGUGCAUGUGGUCCUUAUGGAGGCGAAAGCAGCGCAAUCUGUAAAUGAUCAGGAGCCAUCGUGCCCUCUCCAGAGAAUCCACGAUGCAAUCAAGGUGACAGAUGGCAUGGCCACUGCUGUGGCCUCGUGGAGAAGAUCAAAAUCACCUUCAAUAAACUCUGACUGAAAUGGGCAUGAGCACCUCAAAAAAGUCAGUUUGUCAGUCAAACUGCGACAGCAAGCUGCAUUGGGAAGUGGAAGGGGGGGGGGGGAGAGAAACAUAGCGGCCAGUUCUCUGUUUUCAAUCGUUUCCAUCUGACUGAGCCUGAACUAUGAUCUUUCUCAAAUUGUCCUUUCUGUUUAGCUGAAGCAGGCCAGCAAAUUGCCAGAUUCAUAGCUUUAUUGAAGGAAAUUGAAAACAUGAUGUCCUCAAUUCAACAGACAAACAGCUGGCAGGUGUUUUGGAUACACAAAUGCCAAAAACAGACCUGUCAUCUUUAAGAUACGUUCAGCUGACUUUAUCAGAUUUAAAGCAGAGAUCAAUAAUAAGAUUCGAAUUUAUGCAGGGUGUGAAAGAUUCAGCCAAUCUUUUUAUAAGGUGGGAAAUAAACACUGCUUCUUAUAUUAAAUGUUGGGGUUUUUAUUUUUCCAUAUCAUCUACAUGUCUGCUGUGGCUGAGUAUCUUUAUAAAUACAUUUUCCUUAAACUUCAUAGGGUCUGAUCACUGUAUCAGGACUUACAUCAAAUUAUUUAUGCAUAUCUACAAUAUUAUUUAAUGUAGCUGCUUAUACCAAUGCACAUCUUUUGCUUAUAUGUGAUGCAGGUGGGCAUUACUCUGGGACUUUUAGUUUGUAUGAAUACCAAGACAUUCAAAUAUUGGUACUGAUCAAUAAAUGUUGUUGGUUUUGCUA